rnacentral:rRNA from 1 species
CAGCUAACGCAUUAAGCACUCCGCCUGGGGAGUACGGUCGCAAGACUGAGAGUCAGAGGAAUUGACGGGGGCCCGCACAAGCGGUGGAGCAUGUGGUUUAAUUGGAAGCAACGCGAAGAACCUUACCAGGUCUUGACAUCCUCUGACAAUCCUAGAGAUAGGACGUCCCCUUCGGGGGCAGAGUGACAGGUGGUGCAUGGUUGUCGUCAGCUCGUGUCGUGAGAUGUUGGGUUAAGUCCCGCAACGAGCGCAACCCUUGAUCUUAGUUGCCAGCAUUCAGUUGGGCACUCUAAGGUGACUGCCGGUGACAAACCGGAGGAAGGUGGGGAUGACGUCAAAUCAUCAUGCCCCUUAUGACCUGGGCUACACACGUGCUACAAUGGACAGAACAAAGGGCAGCGAAACCGCGAGGUUAAGCCAAUCCCACAAAUCUGUUCUCAGUUCGGAUCGCAGUCUGCAACUCGACUGCGUGAAGCUGGAAUCGCUAGUAAUCGCGGAUCAGCAUGCCGCGGUGAAUACGUUCCCGGGCCUUGUACACACCGCCCGUCACACCACGAGAGUUUGUAACACCCGAAGUCGGUGAGGUAACCUUGUAGGAGCCAGCCGCCGAAGGUGGGACGAGAGGGGGGGGG